AUUGAACGCUGGCGGCAGGCCUAACACAUGCAAGUCGAACGAGUGGCGGACGGGUGAGUAAUGUCUGGGAAACUGCCCGAUGGAGGGGGAUAACUACUGGAAACGGUAGCUAAUACCGCGUACCAUCCGAUGUGCCCAGAUGGGAUUAGCUUGUAGGUGAGGUAACGGCUCACCUAGGCGGCGAUCCCUAACUGGUCUGAGAGGAUGACCAGCAACACUGGAACUGGGCCACGGUCCAGACUCCUACGGCAGGCAGCAGUGAGGAAUAUUGCACAAUGGGCGAAAGCCUGAUGCAGCCAUGCCGCGUGUAUGAAGAAGGUCUUCGGAUUGUAAAGCACUUUAAGUUGGGAGGCGUUACCAACAGAAUAAGCACCGGCUAACUUCGUGCCAGCCGCCGCGGUAAUAC
rnacentral:rRNA from 1 species